rnacentral:lncRNA from 1 species
AAUGCCGGUCUCAUAACUUCUCCCUUGUCUUGGCUCCUCCCCACUGUGGCACCCCAAGGCAUGCUGGGAAUCUCCUGCCAGCCGUCAGCUCCUAGAAGGCUCACAGCAGUGCUUUUUGGACCUUUGUUGGUCUUGGCUCCUCCCCACAGUGGCAGUCUCAAGGGAUGCUGGGAAUCUCCUGUGGGCAGUCUCAGCUGCUGAAGGCUCACAGGUGUGCUUCUUGGAUCUUUGCUAGGAGUCAAUAACCUUCAAGGAUGUGGCUGUGGACUUCACCCAGGAGGAGUGGGGCCUGUUGGACCAUUCUCAGAAAGAGCUGUACCUGGAGGUCAUGCUGGAGAAUGUGCAGAAUGUACUCUCUCUGGGGCUUCCAGUUCCUAGAGAAAAUUUUAUCUCCUGUUUUCAGCUUGGGAAAACACCAUGGUUGCUAGAACAAAAAAGCCUACGGAGCUCCUGUCCAGAGACAGAGACUAAUUUUGAGGUGAAGGAGAUGUCUACAAAGCUGAGCCUCUUUGUGGAAGAAUCUGACCCCCAAAGAUGCAUGAAUGAGGGUUCUCGUGACUUCAUUUUGAGAAAAAUAUUUGACUCUAAUAUUAAGGUAAAUAAAAUUCCAAAGACGGAUCAUGAAUUUGAUGAAACUUCCAAGAAAUUUAGCCAAUAUUCAGUCUUAAACCAGUAUACAAGCUUGACCUCAGGAAAUGACAGUUGUCAGGAUAGUGAAUAUAGAAAAUGCAUUCCUGAAGAAGUAGGACUUGUUCAGUCACAUGAGAAACCCUCAUGAAAUACCCAUGUAUGAAGGUAACCCUAGAGGGAAUGGCCUGUGAUUGGAGUUCAGACCUCAUUAGACAUCCAAAAAGUCAACAUGUAGAGAUGGUUUCUAUGAGUGAUAAAGAGAGACCUUUCAAUCAGAACUCUGAUCUUCU